rnacentral:rRNA from 1 species
CGACCCCAGGUCAGGCAGGAUUACUCGCUGAACUUAAGCAUAUGAGUAAGCGGAGGAAAAGAAACUUACCAGUAUUCCCUUAGUAACGACAAGCGAAUCGGGAAAAGCCCAGCUUGAGAAUCGAUCGCCAUCGGCAUUCGAAUUGUAGUCUAAAGAAGCGUCCUCAGCAGUGGACGGGGCCUAAGUUUCUUGAAAAGGGGCGUCAGAGAGGGUGAGAGCCCCGUCAUGCCUAAACCCUGUCGCACCAUGAGGCACUAUCUACGAUUCAAGUUGUUUGGGAAUGCAGCCCUAAUCGGGCGGUAAAUUUUGUUGAAGGUUAAAUACGGGCAAGAGACGGAUUGCGAACAAGUACCGCGAGGGAAAGAUGAAAAAGACUUUGAAAAAAGAGUCAAAGAAUGCUUGAAAUUGUUGGGAGGAAAGCGGAUAGGGGCUGGCGAUGCACCCUGGUCGGAUGUGGAACAGCGAGAGUCGAUUCGCCGAUCAGCUCGGGGCAUGGACUGACAUGGGUCAUGGCGGUGGCCAAGUCCGAGCCUUUGAUACGCCCAUAGAGACGUCAUUUCCACGAUUGUGAGAUCGAGCACGUACCGUCUCAGUAUGCUCCGGCAACUGCAUGCUCUGAGCGUCGGCUUGUAGGCUCCCUAUUUGGCCCAUCUUGAAACACGGACCAAGGAGUCUGACAUGUGUGUGAGUCAACGGGCUAGAAAACCCAUAAGGCACAAGGAAGCUGAUUGGAGGGAUCCCUCAUGGUGUACUAUCGAUAGACCUUUAUCUUUUGAGAAAGGUUCGAGAGAGAGUAUGCCUAUCGAGACCUGAAAUAUGGUGAACUAUGCUUCAGCGGGACGAUGCUAAAGGAAACUCUAGCGGAGGCCUGCAGCAAUACUUACGUGCAAAUUGUUCAUCUGACUUUGUUAUAAGGGCAAAAGAAAAAUUGAACCGUCUAGUAGUUGGUUCCCUCCAAAGUUUCCCUUAGGAUAGCUGGAGCCCUUAGCGAGUUCUAUCGGGUAAAGCUAAUGAUUAGAGGCAUCGUGGGGGCAACACCCUCAAGUUAUUCUCAAACUUUAAAUAGGUAGGACGGCGCGGCUGCUUUGUUGAGCUAUGCCACGGAAUCGAGAGCUCCAAGUGGGCCAUUUUUGGUAAGUAGAACUAGCAAUACGAGAUGAACCGAAAGCUGGGUUACGGUGCCCAAUUACGUGCUAACCUAGAAACCACAAAGGGUGCUAGUUGAUUAAGACAGUAGAACGGUGGUCAUGGAAGUCGAAAUCUGCUAAGGAGUGUGUAACAAAUUACCUGUCGAAUCAACUACCCAGAAAAUAGAUGGAACUUAAUCGCAUGACCUAUAAUCGGCCGUCGGGGAAAGGGCCAGGCCUCGAUGAGUAAGAGUAUGCAGUGGUCACCGCAAAACCCGUGGUGCGACCCUGGCGGAGCGACUAUCAGUGUAAAUCUUGAUGGUAGUAGCAAAUAUUCAAAUGAAAACUUUAAAGGCUGAAAACAGUAAAGGUUCCAUGUGAACAACACUUGCACAUGGGUUAGUCGAUCUUAAGAGACAGGGGAAGCCUAUUCGAUAGCCCGCCCAGGGUGAGCUUUGAAAAGGAAUCGGGUUAAAAUUCCUAAACUGAGAUGCGGCAGUUGACAGCAAUAUUAGGGAGUCCUGAGACGUCGGCGGGGGCCUCAGGAAGAGUUAUCUUUUCUGUUUCACGACUUGUCCACCCUAGAAAUGACUUAGUCGACGGUAGGGUCCAGCGGUAGGAAGGGCACCGCAUGUCGCAUAGUGUCCACUGUGCUCCCUGCGGCCCUUGAAAAUUCCAAAGAUCAAGUGCAGUCCGCGCCCAGUUGUACUCAUAACCGCAUCAGGUCUCCAAGGUGAACAACCUCUGGGUAAUAGAACAAUAUAGGCAAAAGAAGUAGGCAAAAUAGAUCUGUAACCUCAGGAAAAGGAUUGGCUCUGAGGGUUGGGCACGGGGGUCCCAGUCCCGAACCCAUCGGUUACUGGUACACUGCUUAAGCUAGUCCCGUGAUGAGAGCAAGUCGCCUCGUGCUGGUCGGGGACGGACUGGGAAUGUCUCCCUCAAUGGCCUUCCCCAGGCGACGAACAGUCAACUCAAAACUGGUAUAGAUAAGGGGAAUUUGACUGUUUAAUUAAAACAAAGCAUUGCUAUGGUCCCUACGGAUGCUCAGGCAAUGUGAUUUCUACCUAGUGCUCUGAAUGUCAAAGUGAAGAAAUUCAACCAAGCGUGGGUAAACAACAGGAGUGCCUAUGAGUCUCUUAAGGUAGCCGAAUGCCUCGUCAUCUAAUUAGUGACGUGCAUGAAUGGAUUAAUGAGAUUCCCACUGUCCCUAUUUACUAUCCAACGAAACCACAGCCAAGGGAACGAGCUUGGCAGAAUCAGCGGGUAAAGAAGACCCUGUUGAGCUUGACUCUAGUCCAACGUUGUGAAAUGACUUGAGAGGUGUAGGAUUAGUCGGAGCUCUCGGAUGAAAUUGAAAUACCAUUACUUUUAACAUUAUUUUACUUAUUCUGUGAAUCGACGAUGGGGGACGGACCCUCUUUUUGGACCAAAGUCGGCUUCGGAGGCGGCACAUUUGUUAAAAGGUAACACAGGUGUCCUAAAAUGAGUUCAACAGGAACAAAAAUCUUGUGUGGAACAAAAGGGUAAAAGCUCGUUUAAUUCUGAUUCCCAGUACGAAUACAAACCAUGAAAACGUGGCCUAUCAAUCCUUUAGACCUUCGAAAUUUGAAGCUAGAGGUGUCAAAAAACUUACCACAGGGAUAACAAGCUUGUGGCAACCAAAUGUUCGUAGUGACAUUAUUUUUUGAUCCUUCGGUGUUAGAUCUUCCUAUCAUUGUGAAACAAAAUUCACAAGUGUUGGAUUGUUCACCCACCAAUAGGGAACGUGAGCUGGGUUUAGACCAUCGUGAGACAGAUUAGUUUUAUCCUACUGAUGGUCGCGUCACAAUAGUAAUUCAACCUAGUACGAGAAGAAUCAUUGAUUCGUACAACUGGUCGUUACGCUUGGUUGAAAAGCCAGGGGCGUGAAGCUACCGUUCGUUGGAAUAUGACUAAACUCCUCUAAGUUAGAAUCCUGGCUAGAAGCGAUGCACACGCCCGUCAUCCGAUUGCAGACCCGUAGUAGGGGCCUCUGGCCCCCAAUGGCACGUAUCGUAGGUGCAGCGAUCGCGGCAGAUAAGUCGCAGGCACCAUCCUUGGAGCAUAAUUC